GGAGAGCAGGGCGUUGAGGCCUCAGGACAUUUGCUGGCAGCAGCAGGAAGAGCAAUAGCCUACAUUGGAGCAGGAGGAUUGAGGACUCCAGAUGGGAGCUGUUUGGGUGAAGACUGAGGUGGAUUGGCCUGGUUUAUCAUCGAGAGCUUGAAAAACUUUAGGAUAUAAGAAAGGAAAGAGGCCUUCCUGGGGGAAGAUAAAUGAGUGUGUGUUUCUUCCAAAGGCAAGGCUCUGAAUGAACGGGCGAUAUUGGGCUUCCGCUGGAACUAGGAUGAGGAUGUGGACACCCCCAACCUGGACCAUCUGGCCGAGGAGGGCGUCAAGGCCAAGUACCUCAUGCCACCCCUUGUCACAAUGACCUCCCCGUCCCACUUCACUGCCAUCACAGAAUCCCAGUGGCCACUAAAACAGAGGGAUUCCAACCUAAAAAGGAGGAAAAGGAGGCUGCUGAAAAGCAAAGGACUCUGUGUAAGAAUCAUAAUAGCGGAGGUGGAGCCAAGAUGGCAGAAUAGGAACAGCUCCAGUCUACAGUUCCCGGAGUGAGCGACGCAGAAGACAGGUGAUUUCUGCAUUUCCAACUGAGGUACUGGGUUCAUCUCACUGGGGAGUGUCAGAAAGUGGGUGCAGGACACCUGGUGCAGUGCAGUGAGCAUGAGUCCAAGCAGGGCGAGGCAUUGCCUCACCGAGGAAGUGCAAGGGGUCAGAGAAUUCCCUUUCCAGGUCAAAGAAAUGGGUCACAGACGGCACCUGGAAAAUCGGGUCACUUCCACCCUAAUACUGCACUUUUCCAAUGGUCUUAGCAAAUGGCACACCAGGAGAUUAUAUCCCAUGCCUGGCUCAGAGGGCCCUACACCCAUGGAGCCUCACUCAUUGCUAGCACAGCAGUCUGAGAUCAAACUGCAAGGUGACAGCAAGGCUGGGGGAGGGGCGCCUGCCAUUGCCUAGGCUUCAGUAGGUAAACAAAGCAGCUGGGAAGCUCCAACUGGGUGGAGCCCAACACAGCUCAAGGAGGCCUGCCUGCAUCUGUAGACUGCACCUCUAAGGGCAGGGCACUGGCAAACAAAAGACAGCAGAAUCCUCUGCAGACUUAAAUAUCCCUGUCUGACAGCUUUGAAGAGAGUAGUGGUUCUCCCAGCACACAGCUGGAGAUCUGAGAAUGGACAGACUGCCUCCUCAAGUGGGUCCCUGACCCCCGAGUAGCCUAACUGGGAGGCACCCCACAGUAGGGGCAGACUGACACCUCACAUGGCCGGGUACUCCUCUGAGACAAAACUUGCAGAGGAACAAUCAGGCAGCAACAUUUCCUGCUCACCAAUAUCUGCUGUUCUGCAGCCUCCACUGCUGAUACCCAGGCAAACUCCAACAGACAUGCAGCUGAGGGUCCUGACUCUCAGAAGGAAAACUAACAAACAGAAAGGACUUCCACACUAAAACCCCAUCUGUACGUCACCAUCAUCAAAGAC
rnacentral:lncRNA from 1 species